rnacentral:tRNA from 1 species
GGGAAUGUGGCUUAGUGGUAGAGUGCUUGCCUAGCAUGCAUGAAGGGUUUGAUUCCUCAAUACCA